UCCCUGGUGUCUCAGAUGGCAAAGCAUCUGCCUGCAAUGCAGGAGACCCAGGUUCAAUCCCUGGAUCGGGAA
rnacentral:tRNA from 1 species